AUUGAACGCUGGCGGCAGGCCUAACACAUGCAAGUCGAACGGUAACAGGAAGCAGCUUGCUGCUUUGCUGACGAGUGGCGGACGGGUGAGUAAUGUCUGGGAAACUGCCUGAUGGAGGGGGAUAACUACUGGAAACGGUAGCUAAUACCGCAUAACGUCGCAAGACCAAAGAGGGGGACCUUAGGGCCUCUUGCCAUCGGAUGUGCCCAGAUGGGAUUAGCUAGUAGGUGGGGUAACGGCUCACCUAGGCGACGAUCCCUAGCUGGUCUGAGAGGAUGACGAGCCAAAAGUGAAAUAAGACACGGGCGAGAAUCGAAAGGGAGGCAGCAGUGGGGAGUAUUGGAAGAUGGGCGAAAGGGUGAUGAAGCCAUGCAGCGUGGGGGAAGAAGGUCUUCGUAUUGUAAAGUACUUUCAGCUGGGAGGAAGGAAAGAAAGUCAAUAAACUCACGGGUUGACGUUACGGACAGAAGAAGAACAGGACAACUUCGUG
rnacentral:rRNA from 1 species